AACUUUAUAUUCAUAAAAUGAUAUUAGACUGCAAUUCUGAAGGAGUAAAUUUAUAUUU
rnacentral:tRNA from 1 species